rnacentral:rRNA from 1 species
AGAAUUUUUCUCAAUGGGGGAAACCCUGAAGGAGCGACGCCGCGUGGAGGAUGAAGGUCUUCGGGUUGUAAACUCCUGUCAUUUGGGAACAAGUUGGACGCCGUAACUGCGCGUCCAUUGAUAGUACCAGACGAGGAAGAGACGGAUAACUCUGUGCCAGCAGCCGCGGUAAUACAGAGGUCUCAAGCGUUGUUCGGAUUCAUUGGGCGUAAAGGGUGCGUAGGUGGCGCCGUAAGUCAGGUGUGAAAUUUCGGAGCUUAACUCCGAAACUGCAUUUGAUACUGCGGUGCUUGAGGACUGGAGAGGAGACUGGAAUUUACGGUGUAGCAGUGAAAUGCGUAGAGAUCGUAAGGAAGACCAGUGGCGAAGGCGGGUCUCUGGACAGUUCCUGACACUGAGGCACGAAGGCCAGGGGAGCAAA